rnacentral:tRNA from 1 species
GCUCGGGUAGCUCAGUUGGUUAGAGCACUGGUUUGAAGAACCAGGUGUCGGCAGUUCGAGCCUGCCCCCGAGCA